AUUGAACGCUGGCGGCAGGCUUAACCCAUGCAAGUCGAGCGAGCGGCGGACGGGUGAGUAAUGUCUGGGAAACUGCCUGAUGGAGGGGGAUCACUACUGGAAACGGUAGCUAAUACCGCAUACCAUCAGAUGUGCCCAGAUGGGAUUAGCUCGUAGGUGGGGUAAUGGCUCACCUAGGCGACGAUCCCGAGCUGGUCUGAGCGGCUGACCAGCCAAACUGGAACGGAGAAACGGGCCAGACACCAACGGGAGGAAGCAGUGGGGAAGAUUGCACAAUGGGCUCAAGCCUGAUGCAGCCAUGCCGGCUGUGUGAAGAAGGCCAUCGGGUUGUAAAGCACUUUCAGCGAGGAGGCGUUACUCGCAGAAGAAGCACCGGCUAACUCCGUGCCAGCAGCCGCGGUAAUAC
rnacentral:rRNA from 1 species